AUGCUCAUCAUAGGUGAUGAUGAGAGCCGUCUCGUUCCACUGCGGGCUCGCCCGCAGUGUCUCGUAGACCUCCUUGACAAACCUCUGGCCCCUGGCGACGUCGUGCGACGGGUGGUCGUCGUUGGCCGGAAACUCCUUGCAAUCGAAGUACCUCUGCUCGAUGACGACGUAAUUGGGCAGCUUGCCCCUGGCGGCGUCGAGCUUGAACCUGAGGCUGUACUGGUGGAACUUGAGGAGGUGCUUGAGCCUGCGGAGGCUCUGGUAGAAGAGCGUGGCCGGGAUGUUCUGGUAGUAGAUGCCGAAGGAGAGGCCGUCCUCCUCGAGGCUGUCGAAGAUGGUCUUCUGCGGGAAGCCGUUGAUGAGGUCCUUGCGGGCGUUGAAGGUGAGGCCGUGGGAGGUGGCGGAGUGGACGAAGAGCCGGUUGGGCUGCGUGGAGGUGGGCACGGACGCGAACCAGCGGUCGAAGACGGCGAACUCGUCGGCGAGCGCGGCGUAGACGGGGACGGAGUCGGGCGCGAAGCCGCUCAUGACGUUCUGCGCCAUGCCGAGGCCCAUGCCGCGCGCGUUCUGCGCGAAGCCCGACAUCGGGGGAGGGACUGCCGAGGUGUCGGCGGAGCCGAAGAUCUGCUCGCGGAUGUCCUCGAAGCCGUGGCCGGGGUCGGAGUCGACGUAGCCGGCCUUGUCGGUGACGAAGAUCUCCGGGGAGGAGGGGUCGGACGCGUUGAGGCGGUUGGACUCCUUGCCGGUGAGCCCGUCGAUGUCGGGGCGGCCGGCGCGGAGCCAGCCGAGGACGUGGUCGAAGCUGCGGUUCUCCAUGACCACCACCACCACCGUCUUGACCGGGGAGUGGAUCUCGCGCUUCUUGCGGCGCCGCUUCACGCGCGGGCCGUGGUGGCCCCCGCCAUCCAGGCAGUGCGCCGAGACCAUCAGGGCCAGCAGGAGGAGGCCAGCGAGGAGGCGCCGCUCUCCGGCGGCGGCCAUGGCGCCGGAGCCGGUCAGUGGCGGCGGCGGCGGCGAGGGGGGGGGUUGGUGUUCGGCGAGUGGUUCCCCUUUUAA
rnacentral:rRNA from 1 species